rnacentral:rRNA from 1 species
UAAGGAUCGGCUAACUCCGUGCCAGCAGCCGCGGUAAUACGGAGGAUCCAAGCGUUAUCCGGGAUUUAUUGGGUUUAAAGGGUGCGUAGGCGGUUUAAUAAGUCAGUGGUGAAAUCUUGCAGCUUAACUGUAAAAUUGCCAUUGAUACUGUUAGACUUGAGUAUAGUUGAGGUGGGCGGAAUGUGUUGUGUAGCGGUGAAAUGCAUAGAUAUAACACAGAACACCAAUUGCGAAGGCAGCUCACUAAGCUAUAACUGACGCUGAGGCACGAAAGCGUGGGUAGCGAACAGGAUUAGAUACCCUGGUAGUCCACGCCGUAAACGAUGAUUACUCGUUGCAGGCGAUAUAGAGUCUGUGACUGAGCGAAAGCAUUAAGUAAUCCACCUGGGGAGUACGUUGGCAACGAUGAAACUCAAAGGAAUUGACGGGGGCCCGCACAAGCGGAGGAACAUGUGGUUUAAUUCGAUGAUACGCGAGGAGCCUUACCUGGAUUUAAAUGUGCUUGACCGCCUCAGAAAAGGGGUUUUCCGCAAGGACAAGUACAAGGUGCUGCAUGGUUGUCGUCAGCUCGUGCCGUGAGGUGUCGGGUUAAGUCCCAUAACGAGCGCAACCCACGUUGUUAGUUACCAGCAUGUAAUGAUGGGGACUCUAGCAAGACUGCCGGUGUAAACCGCGAGGAAGGUGUGGAUGACGUCAAAUCAGCACGGCCCUUACAUCCAGGGCUACACACGUGUUACAAUGGCCGGUACAGAGGGCAGCUACUUAGUGAUAAGAUGCCAAUCUUCAAAACCGGUCUCAGUUCGGAUCGAAGUCUGCAACCCGACUUCGUGAAGCUGGAUUCGCUAGUAAUCGCAUAUCAGCCAUGAUGCGGUGAAUACGUUCCCGGGCCUUGUACACACCGACCGU